UGGGGAAUAUUGCACAAUGGGCGGAAGCCUGAUGCAGCGACGCCGCGUGAGGGAUGACGGCCUUCGGGUUGUAAACCUCUUUCAGUAGGGACGAAGCGUAAGUGACGGCACCUGCAGAAGAAGCACCGGCUAACUACGUGCCAGCAGCCGCGGUAAUACGUAUGGUGCGAGCGUUGUCCGGAAUUACUGGGCGUAAAGAGCUCGUAGGCGGUUUGUCACGUCGUUUGUGAAAUCCUAGGGCUUAACCCUGGACGUGCAGGCGAUACGGGCUGACUUGAGUACGACCGGGGAGACUGGAAUUUCUGGUGUAGCGGUGGAAUGCACAGAUAUCAGGAAGAGCACCGAUGGCGAAGGCAGGUCUCUGGGUAGUAACUGACGCUGAGGAGUGAAAGCAUGGGUAGCGAACAGG
rnacentral:rRNA from 1 species